UGUGUAGCGGUGAAAUGCAUAGAUAUCACGAGGAACUCCGAUUGCGCAGGCAGCUUACCAAGCCGUAACUGACGCUCAAGCACGAAGGCGUGGGGAUCAAACAGGAUUAGAUACCCUGGUAGUCCACGCAGUAAACGAUGAUUACUGGCUGUUUGCGAUAUAAUGUAAGCGGCUGAGCGAAAGCGUUAAGUAAUCCACCUGGGGAGUACGUUCGCAAGAAUGAAACUCAAAGGAAUUGACGGGGGCCCGCACAAGCGGAGGAACAUGUGGUUUAAUUCGAUGAUACGCGAGGAACCUUACCCGGGCUUGAAAUGCAUCUGUCGUCCCGAGAGAUCGGGAUUUCCUUCGGGACAGAUGUGUAGGUGCUGCAUGGUUGUCGUCAGCUCGUGCCGUGAGGUGUCGGCUUAAGUGCCAUAACGAGCGCAACCCCUACCGUUAGUUGCCAUCAGGUCUAGCUGGGGACUCUAACGGGACUGCCAUCGUAAGGUGCGAGGAAGGUGGGGAUGACGUCAAAUCAGCACGGCCCUUACGUCCGGGGCGACACACGUGUUACAAUGGGUGGUACAAAGGGCAGCUACAUGGCGACAUGGUGCCAAUCUCCAAAACCACUCUCAGUUCGGAUCGGAGUCUGCAACUCGACUCCGUGAAGCUGGAUUCGCUAGUAAUCGCGCAUCAGCCACGGCGCGGUGAAUACGUUCCCGGGCCUUGUACACACCGCCCGUCAAGCCAUGGAAGCUGGGGGUGCCUGAAGUCCGUAACCGUCAAGGAGCGGCCUAGGGUAAAACCGGUGAC
rnacentral:rRNA from 1 species